rnacentral:rRNA from 1 species
UACAGAGGGGGCAAGCGUUGUUCGGAAUUACUGGGCGUAAAGGGCGCGUAGGCGGCCCGCUAAGUCGAACGUGAAAUCCCCGAGCUCAACUCGGGAACUGCGUCCGAUACUGGCGGGCUUGAAUCCGGGAGAGGGAUGCGGAAUUCCAGGUGUAGCGGUGAAAUGCGUAGAUAUCGUCUGGAACGCCAAUGGUGAAGACAGGUUGCUGGGGGUAUUCUGACGCUGAGACACGAAAGCCAGGGGAGCAAACGGG